rnacentral:rRNA from 1 species
UACUAGCUCUUCGAGUGGUGUGGAUGUUUAUUGGGCCUAAAGCAUCCGUAGCUGGCUGGGCAAGUCCCCUGUUAAAUCCACCGAUUUAAUCGUUGGAGUGCGGGGGAUACUGUUCGGCUAGGGGACGGGAGAGGCAGACGGUAUUUUCGGGGUAGGGGUGAAAUCCUAUAAUCCCGGGAAGACCACCAGUGGCGAAGGCUGUCUGCUAGAACGCGCCCGACGGUGAGGGAUGAAAGCUGGGGGGAGCGAACCGGAUUAGAUACCCGGGUAGUCCUAGCUGUAAACGAUGCAGGCUAGGUGUUUGGGCGGCCACGUGCCGCUCUAGUGCCGCAGGGAAGCCGUUAAGCCUGCCGCCUGGGGAGUACGGCCGCAAGGCUGAAACUUAAGGAUUGGCGGGGAGCACCACAAGGGGUGAAGCUUGCGGUUU